rnacentral:rRNA from 1 species
AAUCAACGCUGGCGGCGUGCCUAACACAUGCAAGUCGAACGAGAAAGUGGAGCAAUCCAUGAGUAAAGUGGCGCACGGGUGAGUAACACGUGACUAACCUACCCUUGAGUGGGAGAUAACCUAGGGAAACCUGGGCUAAUACCGCAUAAUACCUACGGGUCAAAGGAGCAAUUCGCUUUAGGAGGGGGUCGCGGCAGAUUAGUUAGUUGGCGGGGUAAUGGCCCACCAAGACGAUGANCUGUAUCCGGCCUGAGAGGGCGCACGGACACACUGGAACUGAAACACGGUCCAGACUCCUACGGGAGGCAGCAGUGGGGAAUUUUGCGCAAUGGGGGAAACCCUGACGCAGCAACGCCGCGUGGAGGAUGAAGACCCUUGGGUCGUAAACUCCUUUCGAUCGGGACGAUAAUGACGGUACCGGAAGAAGAAGCCCCGGCUAACUUCGUGCCAGCAGCCGCAGU